rnacentral:rRNA from 1 species
AUAGAUACCCCGGUAGUCCAUGCCGUAAACGUUGGGCACUAGGUGUGGGGCUCAUUCCACGAGUUCCGUGCCGCAGCAAACGCAUUAAGUGCCCCGCCUGGGGAGUACGGCCGCAAGGCUAAAACUCAAAGGAAUUGACGGGGGCCCGCACAAGCGGCAGAGCAUGCGGAUUAAUUCGAUGCAACGCGAAGAACCUUACCAAGGCUUGACAUGCACGGGAAGCCACCAGAGAUGGUGGUCUCUUUGGACACUCGUGCACAGGUGGUGCAUGGUUGUCGUCAGCUCGUGUCGUGAGAUGUUGGGUUAAGUCCCGCAACGAGCGCAACCCUCGUCCCAUGUUGCCAGCGGGUUAUGCCGGGGUACUCAUGGGAGACUGCCGGGGUCAACUCGGAGGAAGGUGGGGAUGACGUCAAAUCAUCAUGCCCCUUAUGUCUUGGGCUUCACGCAUGCUACAAUGGCCGGUACAAAGGGCUGCGAUACCGUAAGGUGGAGCGAAUCCCAAAAAGCCGGUCUCAGUUCGGAUUGGGGUC